UACGGAGGGUGCGAGCGUUGUUCGGAAUCACUGGGCGUAAAGCGCGUGUAGGCGGCCUGCUAAGUCUGAUGUGAAAGCCCGAGGCUCACCCUCGGAAGUGCAUUGGAAACUGGCAGACUGGAGUCCCGGAGAGGAGGGUGGAAUUCCUGGUGUAGCGGUGAAAUGCGUAGAUAUUGGGAAGAACACCGGUGGCGAAGGCGGCCAUCUGGACCGGAACUGACGCUGAGGCGCGAAAGCCAGGGGAGCGAAUGGG
rnacentral:rRNA from 1 species